AUUUAUAUAAUUUAAUAAAAAAAAUAUUACAUUUUCACUGUAAAAAUAAUCCAUGAUUUAUAAAUA
rnacentral:tRNA from 1 species